UACGUAUGGUGCAAGCGUUAUCCGGAUUUACUGGGUGUAAAGGGAGCGCAGGCGGUGCGGCAAGUCUGAUGUGAAAGCCCGGGGCUCAACCACGGUACUGCAUUGGAAACUGUCGUACUAGAGUGUCGGAGGGGUAAGUGGAAUUCCUAGUGUAGCGGUGAAAUGCGUAGAUAUUAGGAGGAACACCAGUGGCGAAGGCGGCUUACUGGACGAUAACUGACGCUGAGGCUCGAAAGCGUGGGGAGCAAACAGG
rnacentral:rRNA from 1 species